GUAAAUUUUAUUGAAAUUACACAAAGAACAAUUUUUUUCAAUUGCCCCAAAAACAUGUUUUUUUCAACUAAAAUUUUCUUUACGUUACUAUUUACAAUUUGUUCUCCUUUGAGUUAUGCCAAUGAAAAAAAAAAUUGAUACCAAUGAAGCUGAUGAAAAAACUAAUAAGUUAGACUAGCAUCCGACUAUUGAAUGGGAUUCAAAAGAUCUUUCUAAAUGCAGUUCUUGUGAAAAAAAUCCAUAUUGUAUGACUAUAACUACAUGUGGACACAGAUAUUGUUAUGAUUGUGAAAAAAGUAUGCUUAAUGACCAGUUGAAUUGUCCAUUGUGUAGAGAAAAUCCAAGUGAUUUUUUUAAUCAAUCAUAUUAUCCAACUAAUUUUGUUCUACCAUACACUAUGCAUGAUUUCUAUAAUCUGGAAAGGUACAAAAAAAUUGUAAAGAGGUCUAACGAGUAUCGAAAAUUUUCUAUGAAUUAUGUGCCAAGAAACAGUAACACAAAUUAAAAUGGAAUGUACUAAUAGAUUUUUUAUAUUUUAUAUCAACACUUAAUUUCAAUGUCUUAGUAUAGUUAAAAAUAUAAUUCGUAUUAAAAUUCAUUAUUAUUGCUAACGAAUAAUUUAUAUUAGAAAUUGUUUGUCUAUAUGUAUGAUUCACUGAAAAUAUUUGUUUAUCUGUAUGUUUCGAUUUAUUUUAACAAAUAUUUAACAAUAAACAAUUCUAAUUAUUUUUAAAAUAUAUAUUUAUAAACCUUUUGUAAUAAACCAAAAAGAAAAAAAAAAGAGAGAAAAUACAGAUUAGAUAGAAAGAAAAUAGGUUUAGAAAGAUAAUUAUUAUGUAAAAUGAAAUGGACGGAAUGACUCAAAAAGGUAAAGAAAAAAGAAAGGGCGGUAGCUAUGGGGAACGAAUAGUAGUUCGACAGUAAAUAUGACCAUUUGAGAAUAAAUCGUUUAAUUAUAAAUAAUGCGAAACACAAAAUC